AUGCAGAGCGUGGCGCGGAUGGGCUGGGUCCUCGGCCCAUCAUCCUCAUUGUCUGCGCCUACAUCACCUACUACAUCGUUGUCCUCAUCUCCGACUACUACCGCUCGCCGGAACCCAUCCAUGGCAAACGGAACUAUACACCUGUACAUGGACGCCGUCCGCUCCUGGCUCGGGCCUACAGAUGUAGCUGUGUGUGGCAAUGCACAGUACACAGUUGUCUAUGCAUCACAGUUGGCACGGGCAUCAUGUCUGUGGUGCCCAGCAACUGCCGCCAUUAAAAGGGCCACGACGCGAACUGCAGCAGGAUGGGGCGAUGUACCUGGUGAUGUUCCGCCUUGCCGAGGUCGUCCUCUCAUAGUUCCCGGGCCUGGAGAUCGGCCACCUUUGUCUCCAUCAUCGCCGUUAUCAUGUCCUUCACCUACUCCUUCAUCGCGUUCUUCCUGA
rnacentral:rRNA from 1 species